UUACCUGCCCUUAAAUUAAGGAAGCAGGGUCUAACUGGGACAACGGGGUCGCACAUCUCCCACCCUGUCAACUAGAACAGAGCCUUCCCUGCCCACCCCUGCUGAUUCACUGGCUCACCCCCUAUCUCCAGUAUCUCCAAGGCCUCAGCAUUUUUUUUUUUUUUUCUUUUUCUGGUGCAAAGGAGCUGGGAGAUGUGGCUGUGGCCAGUGCAGGAGAAGGGGCCUUUAUGUAUACCAGCAAAGACCCAAUUGUUACUGAAUCCAAACUGGGCUGCUUUUCCCAAUUAUCUCCACUACUCUUCUGGUCUCCACUUUUUCUGAUGCCAAGUUUUAACCCAGAACAAAAGCUCCUGUCGGGACUGAUUUAUAAUCCAGAUCUGCUGACAAGGCCCUAAAGGGUCCCUCCCCUCCAGGGCUGCACCAUGCUUAAAGUUACCACCCAAGCCACUGGGCUGCCAGUCUCUUCACCUCUGCCCUUUGUCCCUGACCAGGAGGUGGCACCUGUCUCCAGGUCCCAGUGGGGUGGCCUCCCUGGGGUUCCUCUGUUCACCUGCCCAGUUCAGAGGACUAACUAGCUGGCAAGGAGGACAGCCCAGCACCACCCAGGAGGCCAGAGCUACAAGGUACUUCUAGGAGCGGCUGUGGGCGGAGGCUCGAGUCCUUCUCCAGCGUGGCUCCCUUCAGUCCCUUUCAUCUGAACAUCAGGGCUCAUGUCACUUGUUAUUCAGCCUUCUAGCGGCACCAGGAGGAGUCAUUUCCUGAGGGUAAGCUCAGCGCAACUGGAGUCGAGGGUGGUUUCACCCGGAUCAGGACUAGGGGGUCGCUGAGCGGGUCCCUUCUGGAGCUUGAGAAACAAGAGACACAAGUGGGAGUUAAAGGAAACAGAAUCGGGGACCAAAAGACCACUCUGGUGCGCCCCAAAGAGAAGCCUGGGAUACUCUCCAGGAGGUGGCCCGCCCGCCUUCUUUCCAGUAACCAUAGCGUGGGGAGCCUUUUAGACCCCUUCCCGAACCGGGCUGCCCAGCCAGCACGGUUGGCUUUGGGGGACACUUCGGAAAAACCGGGUGAGUCCGACACCCGCCUUGCUAGGGCCCGAUGUUCCUCCCCCGCCCCACCUCCCGGCGCGGUGGCGCAGAUCUCUGCUGCUGGGCGCGGGGCGGCCUGGCACCGGGAAGGGCGGGGGUCCGAGCCCCCAGGCAGGGAACAGGGAGGCGUGCGGG
ensembl:lncRNA